UAGGCUGGGCAUCGGUCAGCGAGUGGUGAGCAAUUGCAUUGUGCAUCACUUGUUUAAUUAUAUAACGAACUGUGUACCUGUUCCACACAAGGGGAAGCCAUGAAGUUUACCAGGGAACACAGUGGUAAGAAAAGGACAUGCCUAAGCAUUUGGCUCACUUUAUGUUUGUUUCCAAGAACUUGUGUAUCAAAUCCUUCAAAACCCAAUUUUUUACUAAUACUGGCUGAUGAUCUUGGUAUUGGAGAUGUGGGUUGUUAUGGCAAUGAUACAAUAAGGACCUCUAACAUUGAUGGCCUGGCAAAGGAAGGAGUGAGACUUAGUCAGCACAUUGCUGCAGCUUCUGUCUGUACUCCAAGCAGAGCAGCCUUCCUGACUGGCAGAUACCCCAUCAGAUCAGGUUGGGCCUCUCUCUAAUGGUUGACUGAAGCUUGUCUAGCCAUUAUUGCUGUUAAAAAUACCCUUAAAUAACCCCAUUAUAACCCUUUAAUAAAGGCUUGUUAAUCUAA